CACAAAUGUGGUUCCUAUGUAGAAGAAACGAGAGAGGGCAUUUUCUGUGGAGUUGUGGAAAAUGUUGAGGAGGAUUUGAGGGAAGAGAAAACCAUCGAGUACCAAACCACCAUAAGAUCUUAAACCCACCCAAAGGGAACGCUGAUAAGUGCUGCUGUAAGCGUACUCCAUGCCCUCACCCACCGUGUUGUUCCUCCAAUUCACAUACACAGCAAUUAAACCUCCAGAUAUAUAUAGUGGUAGAGACAAAUAGAGUGUCCUCUUCUCAGGAGCCAAGAACGCCUUUUGCUUCCCAUCAGCGAAUCGUGCAGACCAUACAAGCUGCAGAAGUCGGAACUGCAGCAGGAAAGCUACCAUCGUGAUUACCCUUACAAUUACCUCAUUCGCUUCCAACCAUCCACCACUCUGUAGAAGGAAUGUUGUGCGACUUUCCUUUGGCACAAACAAAGCUUCAAAAUUCAGCAUUAGAGGGAUCAUGCGCCCGAGAGUAAGGACCAGAAGCAUGAUAAGUGAGAUGAAAGGGAAAACAGCGGGAUGCUUUUUCACAUACAAGAUCUGGUAUCCCACAAAGACACAAACGAGAGUAUUAGAGAUCAAAGACAUGAUGAUCUCCCGAUCCAUCCUCCGUAUUGACUCCCUCGAAUGCUGACGGUAAAAUGAAGCUGCAGAAAAAGAAAGAGGCUCGAAGUACAGAGGAUCGGAUUUUUUCCCUGUGUAUUCAAUGGUUCCCUGGAUAUAAUCAUUUGAAUCUACUGGAGGGAACUGGACAUUUAUAAGAAUCUUACAGUCCAUUGAAUCAUUGUCUGAUGUCCGAUUGUUUGAGUCAAGAUAUCUGCAGCCCACCAUACAAAGUUCUCCUGUUUCAGCAUCAUAAAUUCCUUCAGAGAAGACUUGAACAGGAGUAGACUCGUUCAGCGGGAAGCUCAUGCUGUAGCUGAUGUUCAGUGGGAUGCUGUGGUUGGUUUUUCCUUUAACCGGAGAGGAAGCACCCCUCAAGCUUGAUGACACCACAAAGCUGUUUUGUCGAGAAAUUUGAUCACCCACAGCGAUGGGCUGAGAGAAGCCCCAUCCUAUUCUUCUUCUCUUUGAGUCCCUGACCACCAUAUUGAACUUCAUGUCAUUCGAAGUUGCAUCUGGAUGCCGCUUUCCUUUGUUCUUUCUGGGCUGCUUCUCUGAGCAUGACUUUCUUGCUUUGUCAACAACAGUGUACUGGUACUUCGACCCGGGGAUCCCAGAUACAAAAUUAUCAUAACUUCGAAACAUGAUCGUAUUGAAGUAACCCAGAUCAUUCUCACGUUUGUUACUCCAAAUAUGCCCCAUCAUACCACUAGUAUUUCUGAUUGACCAAACGGCAGGGAAUCUCAAACUCAACCUCACUGAACAAUCCUCAAUAUGAGAUUUAUUGAACGAGUUGGCUGAAUUCAAGAUUCGACAGCCAACAACACACAGCUGAUUCUUAUUCACAUCCCAUGAUCCUUCCGCAACCAAUGUUGUGUUUGGAGUGAAGGGUUGGUAAUAAUCAGCAUAGCUACUGUUGUGGAAUUCUAUCAGGAAUCUCAAACUUCGUUUAUCUUCUAAACAUUGAAUUAAUUUCAAGGACAUGAUUUGUGGUAAAUAUCCAACACCCUCACCAAAAGGAUUGCAACUACUUGUGGACUUGCAAGCACUUGAGUACUCCAGUUUAAAAAAAGUAUACCAACGAGAGAAUGCAUUGCAAAUACGUGUACUCAGCUUUAAGCUUAGUGACAAACUCUUUGGAACAUCAAUACCCCCGGUACAGACAUGAUCGAGUGCUUUUCCAACCUCAGUGAACUCGUAGUUAUUUUGAGGGAACAUCAACAAGGAGAUUGGCUUGAAAUAUCCUGAAUCACCAGCAGUACUCGAGCUUUCCAAUAUUCCCCUCACCAAACUACUGAUAGUGCUUGAUUUUCUAACUUCAUCAAGCUUAAGUAGAGCGGCAAGAACAACAUGUUCACCCUCCUCUGAGUAAGUAGAACCAGAGCCCACCAUGCAAAGCUUGCCGGUAGAUACUGACCAGAACCCUUGUACUUCAAAACUCAAAGGACCCCUCGGAGAUCUGUCGUCGUACAUGUAAAACUCCAUAUCCGGGGUUUUCAGGAUCAAACUCGCCUCAACCUCAAAGACACCAUCAACAUCAGUACUAUAGACACUGUGGGUAUGAAUGAAUAGCUCUCUCCUGUUACUCGAUGGAUAAUGGUAACGAGAUGAGUUUGGAUGAUUCAAUAUGUCUUCCCCACCAAGAAAGUACCCACCUUGCUCUGCAGCAAAAGGGAUGGUGGUGAUUUCGGGAACAUCAUUGGGAGUUGAUUCAGGGACAAUAGAGGCACAGUGUUUGUUGUAAUUAGGGAUGUCAAGUUUGGAGGAAGAGACCAUGGGGGUGUAAGAGGUGGUCGAAAGGACCAAGAACAUUGCGACGUGAAGCCAUGAUAGAUAACACCAUGUGCUUGGAGAGGAAUUAGAGGUCAUCAUCCGAUAUUUCUUAGACAAUGAGGAUGGUAAGGCUGGUCUGAACAUCUGGUGGAAUGAAGCGGCGGAUAUAUACUAGACUAGGGUAGCAGUCAUCCGGCAAAGUUUUCUUGCUUUUAAGAACCACGCAAUCUACGCAAAUGGAGAACAUCUGCUCCUGAUAAAGAUAGGGACAGCUUAGAGUACCGUGUCAUAUUUGAAGAGUGCACGCUAGGUGUGCUUGAUUUUUUACUGAAUGAAUAAAAAUAGUAAGAUUUAUCUCGAUAUCUCAUGAAGAACAAGACUCUAAUAUUAUAUAAAAUAAUUAUUUUAAUUUAAUAAUUUAAAUUGUUAGAUAAUAUUUUAAAAUAUAAUUUAUAUUAUUUUAUAAUAUAUAUAUUGUUGGAAAUCAAACACAUUUAUAAAUAUAAAAAAAUUAUUAUUCAUGAAAUGAAUAACUCAUGUUAAUUAUCUCGAGAUAGCACCCUAGAUUCUAUAGAUCUCUAAUACCAAUUGGGAUUAGGGUGUGAUUAAAUCUAGGUGAAAUAAAUUUGAUAAUUUAUUAAAUCUAUGAUGAUUUAGGCUUAACUCAUGAUUAAACCCAAAUUGACAAUUCACAAAGCCUAUGGUUUUAACAUGACUGAACUCAAAUGUAUUGAAUCUAGUAUUUUAGUAAACUCAUGAUUCUCUGUACUCAAUUGAUAGCUGAAUCUAAACACAUUGAAUCUUAUAUUUUGCUAGAUUGAUGAUUCUCGAGGCUUAGUUUAUGGCUGAAUUUAAAUAUAUUAGAUUUAGCAUCUUGUCAAAAUCAUGUUUGAUUGAGUUAUCAUCUUGUUACAAGGUUGAGCUCUUUCAACGCACAAAAAUAAAGAAUAAAAAUACUAAAUCAUCAUAACAGAUGGUUUAUGCUAUGAUUAGUAUAUGUGUUCUUGGAUUUGUUGUUUGGGUCAUUAUAUGUUUAACAUGGACUUAGGCAUUGAUAGUUUAUUAAAAUUCUUUUUUUUUAUAAGUUCUCUUCUUAAAAUAGCCUGAAAGGAUGUUUAGAUACAAGAAAAUUAGUGAAAUCCUUAGUAAAUUGAAAAUCUUAAUUUAAAUAAGAAUAAGAUUCGAAAAACAAGUAGCAAUAUUGAUGUGGAUCGAGUAACAAGACAACAAAAGGGCUGAUUAUUGUUGCACAAUCAAGCACGUUAAAUUUUCUUACGUAACAGUUGGAGUUUCCUCUCAUUUCAUUAUUUAGCUUUUACUCUCCCAAUUAAUUCGGGACGUUUCUUUUUGUUUUUUAGUUUUUAUUUCCUCAUUAAUUCUAGACUGUUUCCCAAUUUAAUGAAGUUGUUUUAGGAUUCUAGGAAUUCUGUUUUCUCCACUGGGGACCUUGUGGACUAAGCUUUGUUUUUGUCUGAUUAUUGUUUUUUGUGUUGUGGUUUGUGUGUUUAUUUUUUAUGCAUUUCCUUUAUUUAUUUCUUAUACGCUUUAAUUUCUGUAUAUAUUUGUUCAUGCAUUGUAUAGAAUUGUCUCAUCCAUCACUUACUUUAAAUUUUAUACAAGCACGCACAACUUGGCCAAGCAGAGUUUGCUCAUAACCAUGCAGUCAAUUGUAGCACCAAGCUCAGCCCCUUUAAAAUUAUGUAUGGGUUUCUCCCACGAUGUCCACUUGACUUGGCUAAACUCUCGAACAACACUAAAGUUAAUCACAAGGCAGAGGAUUUUGUCACCCAGCUGCAUGACAUUCACAACCCUACCCGACAGAACUUGCUGGAAUCUAUCGCCAAAUUCAAACACGAUGAGGACCGCAAGCAGCGUCAUGUCAAUUUUGAGGUUGGGGACUUCGUUUAGGUUGUGCUAGCGAAGGAUCGCUUUCCUAUAGGCGAGUAUAAUAAAUUGUUCUGCACGAAAGAUUGGUCCAGUAGAAAUUAUUGAGAAAAUUAAUUCAAAUGCCUAUCGCCUAAAGCUGCCCAGUCAUCUUCGAAUAGCAAAUGUAUUUAAUGUCAAACAUUUGCUUCCUUUCCACAGGGGAUUUGUCAUCAGAGGAGGAAGAUCUCCCGAAUUCGUGGUUGAAUUCUUCUCAGCUUGGGGAGGAUGAUGUGGACCAGGUAGCAAGACAAUAAAAUAGCUUACUAUUGUUGCACAAUCAAGCACAUUAAAUUUUCUUACGUAACAGUUGGAGUUUCCUCUCAUUUCAUUAUUUAGUUUUUACUCUCCCAAUUAGUUCGGGACGUUUCUUUCUGUUUUUUAGCUUUUAUUUCCUCAUUAAUUCUGGACUGUUUCCCGGUUUAAUGAAGUUGUUUUAGGACUCUAGGAAUUCUGUUUUCUCUAUUUAUUUGGUUGUAAGCACUUUGUGAAAGAUAGACAGAAUAAAAAAAAAUCCAAAACUCCUUUGAGUAGUUAACUCAAAUAUCUUUUUUUCUUUGUUUUUCGCGGAAUUACAUAUUAAAAAAACAUUGUGUGUUAGAACGUGUGUGAAUUCCUUUUGAUCUGCAUUAGAAAUGGAGAAAAAUGAAAAUGAAAACAACUAGCAAGCUAGCUACUCCUGGGUAUAUAGAAUUUAAGAACAAUCUAGAAAAAAUUAAAUUUGAUUUAAUAAUAAAAUAAAAAACUAUGAUUGUUUUUAACAAUUAAGAAAAAUAAUUAUCCAAGAAUAAUGAAAAUAGUGCCGCCGAGGUCGGUAGCCAAUGAAUCUUUGCACAUAGAGAGGUGUGACGUCUUUCAAUUAGUUCUGAAUUCAAUUGACAUAAAUUAAAUGCUACAUUUAAGGUGCGUCAAAGGGCAUAUCGGAUUACCAUUAUAAAACUGAUUAAAUUAAUUAAUCUAAAUGAAUCUCUACAUUGUUCAACAAAGAACAAAAAAAAAUAAGAAAAAUAAAAUGUCAGCGAUUUCAUUUUCAGCAAAAAAGCAAAGACUUGGAACUUUCCAAGCAAAUCCAAGUCUAAUUUGGUGAUGAAUGCAGAAAUCGAUGUAUUGGCUCGUAGUAAGACGUGGUCUUUGCUUUAUUUUGAUCAGUCAAUGAAUAUUGUUUGCUGCAAGUGGGUGUUCAAUAUUAAACAGAAAGCUAAUGACUCUAAUUAAUUAGCAUUUUAAGGCUUUGUUUGGUAGCCAAAAGGUAUAAUCACAAAAAAAAAAAAAAAAAAAAAAACAUUUUGACUUUGAUGACACUUUCAGUGAUCUGGCAACCACUGCUUGAAUGGUACCUAUGGAAAUUUCCUAGGCUGAAUGUUUAUAAGGUGUUGCUUAAUGGUUUUCUUCAUAUUGAUGUUUCCAUGGCGCAACCCAUAAUUUUUUGUAUCCUUAAUUUCUUUCUCAUGUGUGCAAGAUAUAAUACACAUGAGAAGGAAAUUAAGUUUCCUGGUUUUAUACAAAAAAAAAUCCAGGAAGUAACUGAACCGAGCCGAACCAAUUUGGUUUGAACCAAAUUCCAGUUUGCUCUGGUUUAUAUUUUUCCGAGUGCAAGCUUGAAAUUGCACGCUGUGGUUUAGCCUUGCAAUGUUUAUAUCUAUGCCUGUUAUAAAAUGUGAUGAUAUCCAGGUUAAAAACAUUAAAAUCUACACACACACACAUAUAUAAUGGUUACAUAAUUUAUCCACAAUGAACAGCGUUUUCAAUCAAAUAAUCAACUUGACGUUUUCCAAUUUCACAACAGAGCACAAAGACUUUCUAUCUUCAUUUACUAGAAACAGGGAGCUACAAGGCUUCAACUAUCUUGAAUUUGCUAGAGCAUAUAAAUUGUCUUCCUAUCUACUUGUAAUUGCGAAUGAAGAUAAGAUCAUGCAGGGAAGUCUUUGCAAACAAGAGAUAUAUAAAGUCACACAUAAACCUUUUCGCUUCCACAGAUGUAUAUACACACAGGUAGAAACACUGUGUUGACAUGUAAAAUCACACAUGAAGAUUUAUUAGUCAUUUUAUAUAGCAGGGGUCCUAAUAUUUUAGCCCAAUCACAAACGGCGAGGGGAGGGGUGGAGUGGUGAUAAAAAUCACAUGCUCACAAAGGUUUGAACCACAAAUUAUACAUCACUAGCCACUGGUACUUUCUCGUAUCCUUCUAGCUCCUUGAAUCUUUUUGGCAAGAAACAACGACCACCGAAGCGCUGCUGCAGGUAGACGAUAGCAGCAAGAAGAAGGCCCACUAGAGGAAUAAUGAGAUCCCAUGCAGUGGAAUAAUAAUCUCCACCUGUGUCGGCAUACAUGUAUGAACCAUCAAAAUCUUCAACAGAGUAGUUAGCCCUGUAUAGAUCGUAUGCAUGCGGGAGCAAGCGCACAAAUGUGGUUCCUAUGUAGAAGAAACGAGAGAGGGCAUUUUCUGUGGAGUUGUGGAAAAUGUUGAGGAGGAUUUGAGGGAAGAGAAAACCAUCGAGCACCAAACCACCAUAAGAUCUUAAAUCCACCCAAUGGGAACGCUGAUAGGUGCUGCUGUAAGCGUACUCCAUGCCCUCACCCACCGUGUUGUUCCUCCAAUUCACAUACACAGCAAUUAAACCUCCAGAUAUAUAUAGUGGCAAAGACAGAUAGAGUGUCCUCUUCUCAGCAGCCAAGAACGCCUUUUGCUUCCCAUC
rnacentral:lncRNA from 1 species